rnacentral:miRNA from 1 species
UUGCGGGGGGCUCACAUCAUGU